AUGAGAGAGUGGCGCGAGGUCCAUGUCAAGCCGGCUCAGGCAACCAUACCCAUCGUAGUGCAGCGCUGGACGGCGCCGGAAGAGGGCUGGGUCAAGGCAAAUUCUGACGGCGCUACAGCAAAGUUCGGAGGCAAGAGUGGAGGAGGGGCGGUGCUUCGCGACCAUAACGGUGCUUUUCUCGCUGGGGCGUGUCACUUCUUUCCUCAUGUCGACGAUGUUGAGGCUGCUGAGAUUAAAGCAUGCAAAAGGGCUCUGUUGGUGGCAAUGGGGAUCAACGUUCAGAGGGUUCACUUGGAGCUGGACAGCCAGGCUCUUGUGCAUACGAUCAAAAGCCCUGAGAGGAAUCUGGCGGCGAAUGGACCUUGGGUGGAGGAGAUCAAGAUGAUGCUUUGA
rnacentral:rRNA from 1 species